rnacentral:rRNA from 1 species
CACAAGCGGUGGAGUAUGUGGUUUAAUCGAUGCAACGCGAAGAACCUUACCUGGUCUUGACAUCCCGGAGACCCUUAGGAACUAGGGGUGCUUCCAUCUGGAAGAAUCUGGAGACAGGUGCUGCAUGGCUGUCGUCAGCUCGUGUCGUGAGAUGUUGGGUUAAGUCCCGCAACGAGCGCAACCCUUGCCUUUAGUUGCCAGCAGUUCGGCUGGGCACUCUAAAGGGACUGCCGGUGUUAAACCGGAGGAAGGUGGGGAUGACGUCAAGUCCUCAUGGCCUUUAUGACCAGGGCUACACACGUACUACAAUGGCCGAUACAAAGGGCAGCGACACUGCGAGGUGAAGCCAAUCCCGUAAAAUCGGUCUCAGUCCGGAUUGGAGUCUGCAACUCGACUCCAUGAAGUUGGAAUCGCUAGUAAUCGUGGAUCAGCAUGCCACGGUGAAUACGUUCCCGGGCCUU